rnacentral:rRNA from 1 species
UACGGAGGGAGCUAGCGUUGUUCGGAAUUACUGGGCGUAAAGGGCGCGUAGGCGGUGCGGUAAGUCACCUGUGAAAUCUCCUGGCUCAACUGGGAGCUUGCAGGCGAAACUGCCGUGCUGGAGUGUGGGAGAGGUGCGUGGAAUUCCUGGUGUAGCGGUGAAAUGCGUAGAUAUCAGGAGGAACACCUGUGGCGAAAGCGGCGCACUGGACCACAACUGACGCUGAGGCGCGAAAGCUAGGGGAGCAAACAGG